GAUGAACGCUGGCGGCGUGCCUAAUACAUGCAAGUCGAGCGAACGGACGAGAAGCUUGCUUCUCUGAUGUUAGCGGCGGACGGGUGAGUAACACGUGGAUAACCUACCUAUAAGACUGGGAUAACUUCGGGAAACCGGAGCUAAUACCGGAUAAUAUUUUGAACCGCAUGGUUCAAAAGUGAAAGACGGUCUUGCUGUCACUUAUAGAUGGAUCCGCGCUGCAUUAGCUAGUUGGUAAGGUAACGGCUUACCAAGGCAACGAUGCAUAGCCGACCUGAGAGGGUGAUCGGCCACACUGGAACUGAGACACGGUCCAGACUCCUACGGGAGGCAGCAGUAGGGAAUCUUCCGCAAUGGGCGAAAGCCUGACGGAGCAACGCCGCGUGAGUGAUGAAGGUCUUCGGAUCGUAAAACUCUGUUAUUAGGGAAGAACAUAUGUGUAAGUAACUGUGCACAUCUUGACGGUACCUAAUCGGAAAGCCACGGCUAACUACGUG
rnacentral:rRNA from 1 species